CCCUCGGUGCAAUAUGUAUCUUUUCUCUUAGAUAUAUGAUCUACUAAUACCGAGAACAAAGAAUCUUCAGAAGUUCCUAAUACGGUAAUACACAAGGUGCACAGUGUUUGACAUCACAGAAAUAAAAGCAUUAUCCAAUAUAAGCAUUAUCAAAGAAGGUCUAUACUAACAUUGCCAACAGCCAACAUAAGAACUUCACCCUAAAACCAUCCCAGAACACUACAAUUGCUGGUGGAUGGGUAGCAAUGGAGGCGCGCAGCGGCAAUAUCUUAUGGUCCACGGCCAAUAUUGCUAAUGAUGCUACCUCCCCGGCUGCAGCUACUGUGGCAAAUGGUGUUGUUUUUGGUGGCUCUACUUACAAAGAAGGACCAAUAGAUGCAAUGAAUGCCAAGACAGGAAAGAUUUUGUGGUCGUAUGAUACAGGAGCAACUGUGUAUGGGGGGAUAUCGGUAAGCAACGGAUACAUCUACCUUGGAAAUGGUUACAAGGUCUUUAAUGGAUUUGUUAACCCGAAUUACACUGCAGGAACCUCGUUUUAUGCCUUCUGUGUUUAACAACUACAAAUAUCCCCUGGGGCCUCGGUGCAAUAUGUAUCCUUUCUCUUAGAUAAAUGAUCUGCUAAUAAUGAGAAUAGUAAAUGUUCUGAAGUUAAAAAAUAUACAAGUUAUAAUUAUAAAGAUGGGAAUAAUUAUAAAGAUGUAAAGGGGAUACAGAACUUGAUUUAAAUGUAUAGGCUAUAGUUUUGUGAUAACAACCUAUGCAUUAUUGAUAACAUUUUUCUCAUAUUACUUUCAUUUCACAAAACAGAAAAUGUAUAGAGAGCUCUGAGAAUAAUUAUAAAGAUGGGAUAAUUUCAUAACUUACUUCCAAGAAGGCUGCAUUUGCAGGAUCAUCCACCCUCCGGAUCAGUGGACCAUCAACCAUGACACAGGCAAAACAGCUACAAGCUUACAACAUUAUCAAAUUUGCCAGGACCUAAAACUCAUCAUCACCAGCACCAGGAAACAUAUAAGGCACAACAAAUUCAAGUAACAUAUACAAAAAAUGAAAAAUGUCCAAAACAAGAAUAAAACCAAAACUUAGAAGCAACAAACUAAUAACUUAAACUAGAACAUACAAAAUGCAAUUCGAAACUUAAUUAAGCACAGACGCUCCAAACUUGCUAACACCAAAUCAGUUCUCAUUCCCACAUCACUAACAUACAUUCAUCAAUGGAUAUGCAAUGUGCUGUUUAUAUAAUAUAAUACUCAACAUUUUUAACCCAAUUUUUCACAAAACAACUCGGAAACUAAACCAAUAUACAGUAGCCAUACCAUACCUGCAAUCGAUGACUCUAACAACCUUCCGACUCAGAAAUUAAACCUCAUCUCUCUCUCCCUCCUCAGUCCUCACAGUCCACAGACGCAAAACAAAGAGGGAAACAAUGGCUUAUCAUGUAUCUGUAAAUGUUAUCUUGAUUUAUAGGUUAUAGUUUUGUGAUACACAACUUGAUGUAAAGGGGAACCUUCUGCCUACAGGACUUCCGUCUUAAGUCGGAAGACAAACUAGUUUUCGUUACAUAUAUGGAGUCCAGAUUUCAAGAGGAGUCCCAUCCCGCGAGCUAUUCAAACGU
rnacentral:lncRNA from 1 species